UACGUAGGUGGCGAGCGUUGUCCGGAAUUACUGGGUGUAAAGCGCGUGUAGGCGGGAGGCCAAGUCUGUGGUGAAAUCGCCCGGCUCAACUGGGCGGGGUCAGCGGAUACGGCAGAGCUUGAGCAAGCUAGGGGGCAAUGGAAUUCCCGGUGUAGUGGUGGAAUGCGUAGAUAUCGGGAGGAACACCAGUGGCGAAGGCGGUUGCCUGGGGCUUUGCUGACGCUGAUGCGCGAAAGCGUGGGGAGCGAUCCGG
rnacentral:rRNA from 1 species